GAUGAACGCUAGCGGGAGGCCUAACACAUGCCAGCCGAGCGGUAGAGUUUCUUCGGAAACUUGAGAGCGGCGCACGGGUGCGUAACACGUGUGCAACCUACCUUUAUCUGGGGGAUAGCCUUUCGAAAGGAAGAUUAAUACCCCAUAAUAUAAUUAUUGGCAUCAAUUAUUAUUGAAAACUCCGGUGGAUAGAGAUGGGCACGCGCAAGAUUAGAUAGUUGGUGAGGUAACGGCUCACCAAGUAAAUGAUCUUUAGGGGUCAUGAGAGGGAGAUCCCCCACACUGGUACUGAGACACGGACCAGACUCCUACGGGAGGCAGCAGUGAGGAAUAUUGGACAAUGGGUGAGAGCCUGAUCCAGCCAUCCCGCGUGAAGGAUGACGGUCCUAUGGAUUGUAAACUUCUUUUGUACAGGGAUAAACCUACCCUCGGGAGGGUAGCUGAAGGUACUGUACGAAUAAGCACCGGCUAACUCCGUG
rnacentral:rRNA from 1 species